UCUUCUCUCUUCGAGCAGGUAACCAUUUAUUUUACAGAACACACUAGAGGUGUGAUCUCCGAUCGGAACUGCCUGAGAGAAAACAUCAGUGAGACUUGUGAAGGGUCCAACUAAUAAAAAGCUUUUCCGAUAGAUACCUCCGAUAACCUUAGCUUUGGCCGGCCGGAGGGUCAACGGACCCUCCUGACCCCCUGUGGUUCCGCCCCAGCAUGAUGUGUUGGAAAGCCUAUGUAAAGAUUAUGAUUGUUGAAUCUUGUUAACUUGUUAGUUUGAUUCAUAUCAUGAUAGUAGGAAUGGUAAUUGCUAACAUAAGUUGAAUGAUGAUUUGAACAUGUGUAUGAAUUCUUGCAUUUAGAUUUGGAAAGAUCAAAAGAAUGUUUAUAUGAA